AUUUAGGUUCAGCAAUUCAGCGAUAAGCUACUCAUGCUCUCUGGCAUUUGUAGCCUACAAGCGUGAUGUUUGAGACCCGAAAGAUGGUAACCUAUGCCUACACAAGGUGAAGCAAGAGAAAACUGGUGGAUGUCUGAAGUCAUUUUAACGUGAAAAUCGAUAAUCUGAUCUGGGUAUAGGGGCGAAAGACUAAUCGAACCAUCUAGCAGCUCAUUUCUUCCGAAGUUUCUUUUAGGAUAGCAAGCGUACAUCUUUUGUUUCAUCCCGUAAAGCGAAUGAUUAGAGGCCUUGAGGCGUUUAUAGCAUCAACCUAUUCUCAAACCUUUAAUUGCUGUGAGUGCUAAAUAAGUAUGCUUAACGGGCCAUUUUUUCUAAGCAGAACUGGCGCUGUGGGUUGAACCAAUUGUUGAGUUGAAGUGCCUAAAGCUGGAAUGCUCAUGAGGUUUAUAAGAAGUGUUAGUUGGAAAUAUGGAUGACGCUAUAACAUUGUAUUUAAACUCAACCUCUGAUGUGUGGCGUACCGGGACACUCAGAGUAGGAAAUUAAUGUGACAGCGUCGAAGGAGCUGUCACGUGUGCAGAUCUUGGUGGUAGUAGAAAGUACUCAAUUGAAAACCUUGACUAUAUAUAUA
rnacentral:ncRNA from 1 species